rnacentral:rRNA from 1 species
AUGACAAACAUAAUUGUUGAAACAGACUGCGAGACGCUGGUGCAUGCAAUGCAGGAAACUGACUUUGAUCUAGCACCUGAAGGAGUUAUCUUCAGAGACCUGCGCCUUUAUGCUCUUCUGCAGUUUAACUCUGUUAGCUUUUCUUUUGCCCCAAGGGGCUGUAAUUUUUUGGCCCAUGUACUUGCUGUUGUGGGUGCUCAUGGACAAUCUCCAAAACAGUUGUGGUCUGAGGAGUUGCCCGAUGAUGUAACUGUCAGAACAGCCAGCGUUUCUGCUGAGCCAGUGGGUUAA